GUGGAUCACGGAUCUGAAAAAUGAAGAAACAAUUCAAUCGGAUGAAACAGCUCGCCAACCAGACAGUUGGCAGAGCUGAGAAAACAGAAGUCCUCGGGGAAGAUCUGUUGCAGAUCGAGCGACGGAUGGAGAUGGUGCGCGCCGUUUCCCACAACGCCCACAAGCGGCUGGUGACGUGCCUGCAGGGCCACCAGGGCACCGACGCGGAGAAGAGACACAAAAAGCUCCCACUCACAGCGCUGUCUCAGACCAUGCAGGAUGGAGGGAGUCAACUGGGGGAGGAGUCCCUGAUCGGGAAGAUGAUGGAGGUGUGUGGCGAGGCGGAGAACCGGCUGGCCAUGGAGCUCUCUCAGCACGAGAUGCAGAUCGAGAAGGACGUCCUGGACCCCCUCAAUCAGCUGGCGGAGAUGGACAUUCCCAACAUCCUGAAACAGAGGAAGCAGCUGGCCAAGAUGGUACUGGAUUAUGACUCUGCACGAGCCAGGUGGAGUCAGGCGACCAAGUCGAUCAUCUCGGGAACCAACUUCCAGGCCCUGACAGCCAAGGCUGACUCCCUCAAAGAAGAGGUGGACGAAGCCAUGAACAAAGUCGAGCUUUGCAAGGACCAGCUGGCCGCAGACAUGUACAACUUCUCUUCCAAAGAAGGGGACUACGCUCGCUAUUUUGUUGCAUUACUAGAAGCACAAGCUGAUUACCAUAUGAGAUCUUUAGCAGUGUUAGAAAGUUUCCUUCCGACCAUCCAUGCACAGCAAGAUUCGUGGACAGAGAAGCCGGCGUUUGGCACGGCGCUGGACGACCACCUGAAGCGCAGCAACCGGGAGAUCGCCCUGCCCAUCGAGGCGUGUGUCAUGAUGCUGCUGGAGACUGGCAUGAAGGAGGAGGGGCUGUUCCGGAUUGCAGCCGGGGCCUCCAAGCUGAAAAAACUGAAAGCGGCGCUGGACUGUUCCACCUCCCAGCUGGAGGAGUUCUACUCUGACCCCCACGCCGUCGCUGGUGCCCUGAAGUCCUACCUGCGAGAGCUGCCCGAGCCCCUCAUGACUUUCCAGCUGUACGAUGAAUGGAUACAAGCUUCCAACGUGCCAGACCCGGAUAAGAAACUCCAGGCUCUGUGGGUGACGUGUGACAAGAUGCCAAAGAGUAACAAAGCCAACUUCAGGUACCUGGUGAAGUUCCUGGCCAAGCUGGCCCAGGACAGCGAGGUCAAUAAGAUGACCCCCAGCAACAUCGCCAUUGUCCUGGGACCCAACUUGCUAUGGGCCAAGACUGAGGGGAGCCUGGCUGAGAUGGCAGCUGCUACCUCGGUCCAUGUGGUAACGAUCAUUGAACAGAUUAUCAUGCACGCCGACUGGUUCUUCCCUGAAGAGCUGGAUUUCAAUGUCUCUGGGAUGUUCGCCUUGCCCACGCCCCCUGCCAACAGCACCAACCACCUGCCGGCGUCGGACUUUGACCCUGGCACGCUGGAGAGGAAGAGACCGCUCAGCGUGGCGGUGACGGAGGCCGACCCGACCCGCAAAGACAGCCCUGCUAACAAACUAUUGGACCACACUCCGCGUAGAAGCGGCACUCUUAAUAGGAAACAGCACUCCUCGCCCGCCUUCCAGCCCCCCCUGCCUCCGGUCGAGGCUGGGGGGGGGGCCCUGGCGCAGCCCGUUGCCGAGCAACAGGCUCAGCCAAUGGGUGUGGGCAGUGAGGCCGGCCCCUCAGGCUCGGCACAGGGUGUGGCGUCAGGGGCCACAUUCCAGCAACCCCCUGCCCAGCACUGUGAGGACAGCAGCUCCCCGAAGGCGAGAGAACCGGCCUCGACGCCCCCCCCGCUGAGGAACGGGGCCGCAGGGGGGGCGACGCUGACCCCCAGCCCCGGCGGUGGAGCGGGACAGCUGACCGUAGGGCCCUCCCAGGCGGGAUCGCUGGGGCCCAGCCCUCACAUGGUGCGCAGAGCUACAAAGAAGCCGGCGCCGGCCCCGCCUAAGCCCGCCAACCCCCCUCCGGGACCAGCCGCCACCCCGGCUCCCAAACCCGUCUCCGGCCACCCCCCCUCCAGCCAGAGCUCCCCCGCCCAGCCCGCCGCCCAGCCGCGCAGGCACUCGAGCAACCAGCUGCCCAUCCAGGCCCCCAGCCACCCGCCCCCUCAGCCUCCCACCCAGGCCACGCCGCCCCCGCACCCGAAGGCUCUCGGGCAGACGCCGGGGGGCGCCGGCGAGGCGGGGACGGAGAACUCCCCCCCCAGGACCCCUACCCCCCCCGGCACCCCUCCGCCCCUCGCGGCCGCCCACGACACCCACCAGCCCCCCUCUCCCUUUCAGUCGGGGUCUCUUCCCAGGCCCCGGCCUGUCCCCAAACCCCGCCACAGACCCAGUAUCCCCCCGCCGCCCCAGCCGCCCACUCCCGGCGCCAGCGACAACAACGCCAACGGCAUCUGCAACUCUGCUUCCAAAAUCAUCACCGGUAAGCCAGCUGCGUCUCUCUCUACGUGCGGUCGGGGUUGGUACGUGGAGAGAGCUUGAUCCAGUAUCCAUGCAGUGAGCAGAGGCUUGAAAUGCACAUUUCAAGGAUUAACCAUUGCGUAAACCUUAACUAAUCGAUAAUCAGAUCAGUUAUGCAAGAACAAUGGUGUCUUCUAGGAAAUGCAGUACAUGCACUUUGUUCCGUCUGCGUACAAAUGGUAUCGGUGUUAAAAUAGCAUCUGCUUGUCCUGUAGCUGCCUGAAAGCGAAAGUAUUUCUUUCCCCUUCGUUAUGACCCGCAAUUGUCGUAUGAAUCUGGUGCAGUUCAGGCGGGGCUGGACCUAGCCGGUCAGGACUUGCUUGAGGAAAAGCGCUAAAAGACUGUGCACACCUUCAGGAACAGCCGCAGGCUGGCCGUCUGUGGGACGGGGUCUUGUCCGACAUGGAGAACUCCUGCUCUGAGCUCGAGCAUGUAAACGUGCCCCCCCCCUGCUUCCUGUGAUCCAGGGAAAGAGGUCUUUGCUUCAAAAAAGGGGUUGGCAUUGCCAUACAAAGUACCUGGUGCCCAUUUCCGCGAUUCUUGGCUUUGCAUAGGAUUUUCGAUGCACAGAUAUUCUGAAUGCAUAGGAUAGCCAGUCGCUGCAUGCAUAAUAUAACAUCAUAACGUCCUGUAGUGUCUGUAGGAAACCGGAGUGUUUUAGAAUAGUGUAUGUGCCGUGCUGUCAUUACAGUGCCAGUCACUCACACCACGGGGAGGAAAAAAGUUUGAUGUCACGGAUCAGUUGGGUUCCAUGGCAACAAAAAGCAGAGAAACCACUUUUUGUAACUCUUAAGCCUGAAAUGUGAAGCUGCCAAAACCGCAUCUUGUCCCCAAACUUGCUUGUUAGCUUUUUUUGUUUCAGUCUAGAACCAUCUUGGUGAGCACAGUGUACAGAUGCUUCAGAAGUGUGGUUCACUGACCCCUUCUAAGAAAUGUGUGUUAAAGACCGUAUUGGGUGAGCUGGCUAAACAGCCAAGCAGAAUAGAAAUGCAGCUCUCCUAAACUGACUUUCUUAACAGGACGCAGUACAGCACAGUGCCACAUUGGAGGGAAAAAAUGGGUUAAACCUGUGAUCAAUAAUCCACAGGUGGCAGAAUACAUUUUUUUAGUCUCUCCAUCAGUAAUCCUGUUCAGCCACCUCUCUUUCUCUAUCAGUCAAUAACAUUGUGCAGGUCAGCGCUGACUUGGGAUUAUCUUAAUACACCUCUAAUUGUCAUUAAUUGUGCACUAACGGCCUUGUCGCAAUACUUCCACAGGUUGAUGAUCUUUCCAGCAGGAAGGUUUGUAAUGAGACACUUGCAUUUGCAGUUUCCAGUGCCCCUGCUCUCAGCUCUGUACUCCAUGUGUUAUGUUACAGCAGCCUCUGCUGUUCUGUACAUGCUUGAGGCAUUUUGCUUGCAGUUGAACUGUUGUGUUUACAUUGUCCACCAGGUACUUAACCUCCGUUUUUCAUUUUAUCACCAAAAACGCCCAUCUCGUUUAUAACCCAUCUACUUUUUGAUUGCUUGAGAGCCAUGUUCAUACCAUUAACCCCCAUGGAAAAGCGGACAUGAGAUGUGGAUACAUUUUUUCUCAAGAGUUAAAUGCAAAGAAUCAAGCACAACUCAGGAAAAGAUGUGGAGCAGUAAAAGCAAAACAUGGCAGUAGAGGAAAAUGCCACUGUUUUCCCUUUACCAUUUAAUGCACAAUCACGUUCAGCUUCCUUAGCAAUGCUUGCGCGAUGCCAAGAUCAACAGUGUACUGGCUGUUUACUCCUUUUUUGAGUGGAUGUGCAUAAUUCAAUCUCUCAUCACAAGGGUAUUUUAUUAAAUGGUCUGCACCAAGCAGCCUAGGACUUCUGUGACUCAUUUAUGGUAGGGAAAACCCACAGCAGCACUUGCAUAACUCCCUGCUCCCCAUGUCCCUGUUAAAUUGUGUAUUGUGGCUUUAGGUUUGCAAGACCUAGUAGUGUGCUAUGUUUUCUGCCAACUCUGGUGUGCAUGUUGUUGAUAGGCCUUUGCAAUAGCAAUGCAUGCUGCAAAACCUAUUGCAUCAGAAAAUGUGUUUUACUGUAAGAAAUGAGAAUGAAACAAUGCCCACGUGACCCUCUUGACUUCUGGCAUGCAUCGCAGCUCUAAUCCACUGCACUUUGACAUUGUGACUCCUGGCUUUCAUUGAAGAUCAAUGUAAAAGGUGCAAUGUCCCUUAAUUUGCCUGGAGGAUUUUAAAAGGUUUAUUGUGCAAUCAAUAUCAAGGUCAAUUUUUGCUUCAUGGUAUUUUUUUAGGCCCUGCAUGUUGUAAUUUGGGUUAAGGUUUGAAAUAAAAUGACCUAUUCUGUCUACAGAACUAAACAAGACAUUUCCUUUAUAACUGGUGAAAGACUACAAAUUACCAUAGAACACUCAAUUAUUUUAAGUUCCUCUUCUGGAGGGGGAAUUCAGUUCUUUCCCCUCUUCAUCUGACUGAAGUAGUUGAAGAGAUGAAUGCAUGUGCUUUCAAAUAUGUAUAGUGGGCAACUGAACACGAAGGCCAGUGUGCAAAAGUCACAUUUUAAUACUGUUCUUUAUUGUUGCUCUUGUUAUUUACAAUUACUGCUUUGGAAACCUUUGUUUCCAGAUGACAUAAGGAACGUAGGGAUGUCGUUGAUGUGAAUGCAUUCAUAUUUAGAGGUGAAUAAAUAUUAAAUAUUGCAGAUGUCUGACCUGCCAUUCUAAGAGAUGAUGUUGGGAGGCAGGCUAUGGUAAGCACACAAGGCACCUGAUUGGCCAAAAAAGUAGCCAUCCCUGAAUUGCGCACACUGCUUCUCUGCCUGUUAACCCCAGUGCGUGCUAACCCUGCUUGCCCGCCCUUACUAACGUCAAUCAUCUCUGGCUGUGCGAAAAGCCCUGUUUGCACAGACACUUGUCUGUGCAAACUAACUGCUGUUUGUCUCAGGUUCCUGGAAUGUCCCCUGCAUACACACUGUGGAUUCCAGUAUUGCUGUGAAGGGGCUGACCCGUGCCCUGGUUCCUGAGCUCCCUGUGGAGCCGCCCGUGUCUCCCGC